rnacentral:siRNA from 1 species
UUUUCGAUGUCUAGCAGUGCCAA